AUGCUUUGCCUAAAAGAAGAUAUGGAGGGUAUGAAACUCAUCUACUCAUUGUCAGUUACCUACUUCACCUUUCCUGUCCCCCUAGAGACUUUUGAAGCUCCAUUGUGGUACCCUGGUGUCCAGUGGAUCCCAGUUUGUAAGCCAAUGAAAUAGACCUAUGUGUAGCUGCCCUGGAAUGCCUGUGGGAAGAGAUGACCCAAUACAAGCGAGAGAAUUGCCCAAUUUUGGAUUCCUCUUUCUCAAGUUGGAAAGAUAAGAGAUAUAGGAUGUGUAAUGUGAUUGCCAUUGGAGAGAUUGACAAAGGAGCCCUGAGCACGUGGAGCCCACGUCUAUUCUCCAGUCUCUUUUGGAUCCAGCCAGUUCCUGAGAUGCACAAGUUCUCCUCAGCUGCACGUUGUGAGUUUCUUCCCAUGGUAAGAGAGGACAGCUGUUGA
rnacentral:lncRNA from 1 species